GACGAACGCUGGCGGCGUGCUUAACACAUGCAAGUCGAACGAAGAGCGAUGGAAGCUUGCUUCUAUCAAUCUUAGUGGCGAACGGGUGAGUAACGCGUAAUCAACCUGCCCUUCAGAGGGGGACAACAGUUGGAAACGACUGCUAAUACCGCAUACGAUCUGACCUCGGCAUCGAGGAUAGAUGAAAGGUGGCCUCUAUUUAUAAGCUAUCACUGAAGGAGGGGAUUGCGUCUGAUUAGCUAGUUGGAGGGGUAACGGCCCACCAAGGCGAUGAUCAGUAGCCGGUCUGAGAGGAUGAACGGCCACAUUGGGACUGAGACACGGCCCAGACUCCUACGGGAGGCAGCAGUGGGGAAUCUUCCGCAAUGGACGAGAGGCUGACGGAGCAACGCCGCGUGAGUGAUGACGGCCUUCGGGUUGUAAAGCUCUGUUAAUCGGGACGAAAGGCCUUCUUGCGAAUAGUUAGAAGGAUUGACGGUACCGGAAGAGAAAGCCACGGCUAACUACGUG
rnacentral:rRNA from 1 species